rnacentral:ncRNA from 1 species
GUAGACACAUCUAGAUCAACAGAGUGAUCAGCCGCAUGUGGAGUGGUGUCAUGAUUAUUGUUCGUGUGUUUCAAACUAUUUGCUGUGUUGCAAAAUGUCUAUGGCUGAUUGUUAACUGUAACACUGCCAUUCAAUCCUAUCGCUUCACGUCGACGGGUGCAUGGCCGUUCUUAGUUGGUGGAGCGAUUUGUCUGGUUAAUUCCGAUAACGAACGAGACUUUAACCUGCUAAAUAGUAGACUGGUCUUCUGUGCUCGUUUAGGGAGCGGCUUCUAUUGCUUCUUUAUGGAGUAGUGUGGUCGUGAUUCGGCAGGUGCGGUGCCAGUUUUUACUUAAGUCGCACGAAAUUGAGCAGUAACAGGUCUGUUAUGCCCUUAGAUGUCCAGGGCCACACGUGCGCUACAAUGACGGUGCCAGCGAGUCUGGAAACCUGGCCCGAAAGUGUUGGGCAAACUGUUUCAUCACCGUCGUGACUGGGAUCGGGGCUUGUAAUUAUUCCCCGUGAACGAGGAAUUCCUGGUAAGUGCAAGUCAUAAGCUUGAGCUGAUUACGUCCCAGUCCUUUGUACACACCGCCCGUCGCUACUACCGAUUGAAUG